GCGGCUGCAGAUGGAGUCGAUCUCAUCUAUGAAGAUGGUCGUCGGGGCGUAGAACCUGGCCUGGGAACAUUUUGGAUUCAAAAUGUAAUUGAAAGCGGAAUGAAAACAACAGCCACAUGAUGCAAUAUAAUUCCUGCAUUCAGCAGAACACCAAACAUGCACUUUAGUACAGUGAACCACCACCCCCCCCCUCCCCCCCCCCCAGACCUCACCAUUUCAAACAGCAAGCGCACCAGCUUCUCAGACUCCCCGCGGUACUUGGAGGUGAGCGUGGAGGAUGAGACAUUGAAGAAGGUGGUCCCACACUCGGUGGCCACGGCCUUGGCCAGCAUGGUCUUCCCCGUGCCUGGAGGCCCCACCAUCAGGACCCCCUGACCGGCGAUCAGAAGGAGAGACACUGGCUUCAGAAGGACAUCUGACCUUCCUCUUUUUCCACUUAGACACCUUCAAUCAGCACCACUUAAAAUUCUGUAAUGCACAAUGAGGAAAUGAAGAACAGCCAUGUGGUCACACUUCCAGCCCCUUAACCACUGUCCUGUUUCUACAUCCCCGCAGUCUCAUCCACCCUCUAUACUACACAAGGUCGCAUAGGUCCAGAGCCUAUUCCAGUGGCAGCGGACAGCCCAGGAUGGCCCCACCCCAUCACAGAGAACUUAAAGCAGGGGGGGGCAAUCUUAUCCGCAAAGGGCUGGUAUGAGUGCAGGUUUUGGGGAUAACCUUUAGGUCAGCUGAUCGAACCCAGGUGUGAGGAAUCUUCAGCCAAUCAGCGAAAACCCAAACACACACAGUGGCCCUUUCUGGAUAAGGAUGGCCACCCCUGACAUACACCAUUCUCACCCGGCAAUUUAGCAUGUUGUUUGGAGAGUCUGAAGGACACCUCACGAUGACACUGGGAGACCAUGCAAAUGCGGAGAACUCGGGCAGAGGCUCGAACCACCCCUGUGCCACAUCUGAAACCCCGAACGCUGAAUCUGCAAAGUCACGUCACUCCAAACUCGAGCCAGGAGCCCAGGCUGUUUUGCUAAGGGGCUCUGGGAAGAGGAGCCCGGGAGAUUUCUAGGCGCAAAGGCCACUGAAAAGGCAAUCAGAGCAUGGCGGAGGAUUUAAAGUAUGUUUAUUUAUAUCUGUAACAGACAAGACGGAGAGGCUCUUCAGACGGAAAUGUCCGUGGGGAAUUGUCAAAGCGAAGCACUGAAGCAAGUUAAGCAAGCUAAUAAAUAAAUGACUAGCUAAAUAAAUAACUAAAUAAAUAAACAGGCCAAACAACAGA